UACGGGGGGAGCAAGCGUUGUUCGGAUUUACUGGGCGUAAAGGGCGCGUAGGCGGCCAGUGCAAGUCAGUUGUGAAAUCUCCGAGCUUAACUCGGAAAGGUCAACUGAUACUGCUCGGCUAGAGUGCGGAAGGGGCAACUGGAAUUCUUGGUGUAGCGGUGAAAUGCGUAGAUAUCAAGAGGAACACCUGCGGCGAAGGCGGGUUGCUGGGCCGACACUGACGCUGAGGCGCGAAAGCGUGGGGAGCAAACAGG
rnacentral:rRNA from 1 species